rnacentral:rRNA from 1 species
GCGGGGCUACCCGCUGAGUUUAAGC